rnacentral:rRNA from 1 species
AACGAACGCUGGCGGCAUGCCUAACACAUGCAAGUCGAACGAGACCUUCGGGUCUAGUGGCGCACGGGUGCGUAACGCGUGGGAACCUGCCCUUAGGUUCGGAAUAACUCCCCGAAAGGGGUGCUAAUACCGGAUAAUGUCUUCGGACCAAAGAUUUAUCGCCUUUGGAUGGGCCCGCGUUGGAUUAGCUAGUUGGUAGGGUAAAAGCCUACCAAGGCGACGAUCCAUAGCUGGUCUGAGAGGAUGAUCAGCCACACUGGGACUGAGACACGGCCCAGACUACUACGGGAGGCAGCAGUGGGGAAUAUUGGAAAAUGGGCGAAAGCCUGAUACAGCAAUGCCGCGUGAGUGAUGAAGGCCUUAGGGUUGUAAAGCUCUUUUACCCGGGAUGAUAAUGACAGUACCGGGAGAAUAAGCUCCGGCUAACUACGUG